CAUGACAUUCAGCCUGGUGCGAAGUCCAAAUUUGUCACCAAAGCCAAGCGCGGGCCACUUAGAGAUGCGGAUUGCUACUGGGAUUAUGGGAAAGCCUGUUGUGCUUGGCAAGAAUACUGUGAAUACAGAUACAGUUUCGGGGAUGUUCACUUAGGACAAAGUUGUAGAUUGAGGAACACAUCUGCUAAUAUGCUGCUCCAGUACAUAUAAAUUUCCUGUUCAGCAAAUGACCUAUUCCUUCAUCUGCAUUUUACUCUCCCGGUUAGAAGAUAGAAAAAAAGGUUAAAAACGGUCAAUUCUUAUUGCUCUCUCUAUUUCUCACGCAAAGGUAUUCUUUUGUGAAUUUUUUGCUAUUACGAGCAUAUGAUAUUUUGGGUACAGCUAAGAGUGCAGUUACUUUGAUCGUCACGGCUAAAGUAGUGUAAACCCAUAUUAAAAGAAUUUUUCUUUUUUUC